GCUCUCAGUCUCUCUGGGAGCCCUCCCGACUCUAUCUCUGUGUCUUUCUUUUUCUUCAUCCUCACUCCCCCAUUCAGGUACUGUUCGACAAGUGACGGCGGGCUCCGUCAAGGGCUGAGAACAGAACUCAAUGCAUCAGAUUUAACACCCAGGACACUGGCUGUCCGCCAUCGUUGUCAUGUUGAGAUGAGGGUAUCAUCUUGAGGCCCAGAUGUUGAAAAUAUAGCAGAAUCUAGUAGUAUUGUCGUCAACUAAUGCUCCUGGUGUUGGAGUUCACUGAUCAGAGAUUGGAGCUGCCAUGAAGUGAGUAGCUUUCCUUUACCAUGCACGUCUACCGUGAUGUUUAUGUCUUGGAAUUAUCUGGACUGAAAUUUCUGAAACUGCGAACCAAAAUAAACUCUUCUUCAGAAGGACAGGUUUGUUCCUAGUAUCCCUCUCUAGGGCUGGAUUCACCCUAAUAAAGAAGCUCUGUAUCAGACGCCACAGAAUAGGCUGGGAGAUGCUUUUCUUUUAUGGAAACUGAAAUGAAAUAAGGUUGGAAAAGGCAGCAGAGCUGGGCCUCGUGGGACCUCUGAUCAGACAUUCCUGUGGCAGAUGAAAGAAGAGCAUCAGCACGGGAGGCAGCUGGCCCAAGGUCACACAGCUAGCAAGUUGCAGAAGCAAGGUGCAAACUCAGAACUCCUGAACCCAAGGUCUUGGCCUUUCCCUCUCCACCUUCCUUAGGCCUCUGGCUGCUGAAGAAGUCAUCACAGAAGAGGAGGAAGAGGUGGAGGGGCUGAGCCUAGGAGCUGCCUCGGUGGAGGGGUUCUCACUUCAGCCCUUUGGAUGGUGGCCACAAAGGAAUAAAAUGAAGUGACAAUCUGUGA